UACGGAGGGUGCAAGCGUUAUCCGGAUUCACUGGGUUUAAAGGGUGCGUAGGAGGGCAGGUAAGUCAGUGGUGAAAUCCCCGAGCUUAACUUGGAACUGCCGUUGAUACUAUCUGUCUUGAAUACCGUGGAGGUGAGCGGAAUAUGUCAUGUAGCGGUGAAAUGCUUAGAUAUGACAUAGAACACCAAUUGCGAAGGCAGCUCGCUACACGAAUAUUGACUCUGAGGCACGAAAGCGUGGGGAUCAAACAGGA
rnacentral:rRNA from 1 species